rnacentral:rRNA from 1 species
UUGUUGGUAAGGUAAAAGCUUACCAAGGCUUCGAUCAGUAGCUGGUCUGAGAGGACGACCAGCCACACUGGGACUGAGACACGGCCCAGACUCCUACGGGAGGCAGCAGUGGGGAAUUUUGGACAAUGGGGGCAACCCUGAUCCAGCCAUGCCGCGUGAGUGAAGAAGGCCUUCGGGUUGUAAAGCUCUUUCAGCCGGAACGAAACGGUUACGGUUAAUACCCGUGACUACUGACGGUACCGGAAGAAGAAGCACCGGCUAACUACGUGCCAGCAGCCGCGGUAAUACAUAGGGUGCGAGCGUUAAUCGGAAUUACUGGGCGUAAAGCGUGCGCAGGUGGUUUUGUAAGUCAGAUGUGAAAGCCCCGGGCUCAACCUGGGAACUGCGUUUGAAACUACAAGACUAGAGUGUGGCAGAGGGGGGUGGAAUUCCGCGUGUAGCAGUGAAAUGCGUAGAGAUGUGGAGGAACACCGAUGGCGAAGGCAGCCCCCUGGGUCAACACUGACGCUCAGGCACGAAAGCAUGGGGAGCAAACAGGAUUAGAUACCCUGGUAGUCCAUGCCCUAAACGAUGUCAACUAGUUGUCGGGCCUUUACGGGCUUGGUAACGUAGCUAACGCGUGAAGUUGACCGCCUGGGGAGUACGAUCGCAAGAUUAAAACUCAAAUGAAUUGACGGGGACCCGCACAAGCGGUGGAUUAUGUGGAUUAAUUCGAUGCAACGCGAAAAACCUUACCUACCCUUGACAUGUAUCGAAGCCCGCAGAAAAGCGGGGGUGCCCGAAAGGGAACGAUAACACAGGUGCUGCAUGGCUGUCGUCAGCUCGUGUCGUGAGAUGUUGGGUUAAGUCCCGCAACGAGCGCAACCCUUGUCAUUAAUUGCCAUCAUUUAGUUGGGCACUUUAAUGAGACUGCCGG